rnacentral:rRNA from 1 species
GACGUAGGGUGCGAGCGUUGUCCGGAAUUACUGGGCGUAAAGCGUGCGCAGGCGGCGCGUUAAGACAGGUGUGAAAGCCCCGAGCUUAACUUGGGAAUUGCGCUUGUGACUGGCGUGCUGGAGUGUGGCAGAGGGAGGUGGAAUUCCACGUGUAGCAGUGAAAUGCGUAGAGAUGUGGAGGAACACCGAUGGCGAAGGCAGCCUCCUGGGCCAGCACUGACGCUCAUGCACGAAAGCGUGGGGAGCAAACAGG